GUGGGGAAUAUUGGACAAUGGACGCAAGUCUGAUCCAGCCAUGCCGCGUGAAGGAUUAAGGUCCUCUGGAUUGUAAACUUCUUUUAUAAGGGACGAAAAAAGGCUUUUCUAAGUCGUCUGACGGUACCUUAUGAAUAAGCACCGGCUAACUCCGUGCCAGCAGCCGCGGUAAUACGGAGGGUGCAAGCGUUAUCCGGAUUCACUGGGUUUAAAGGGUGCGUAGGCGGGCAGGUAAGUCAGUGGUGAAAUCCUAGAGCUUAACUCUAGAACUGCCAUUGAUACUAUCUGUCUUGAAUAUUGUGGAGGUAAGCGGAAUAUGUCAUGUAGCGGUGAAAUGCUUAGAUAUGACAUAGAACACCUAUUGCGAAGGCAGCUUACUACGCAUAUAUUGACGCUGAGGCACGAAAGCGUGGGGAUCAAACAGGAUUAGAUACCCUAGUAGUCC
rnacentral:rRNA from 1 species